rnacentral:lncRNA from 1 species
UCAAAAUAUCCAAUUGCAUCAUUUAAUCAAUGCUGAAAGGUCAAAAGUUAAAAGUAAAACUGGUUAAAAUUUAGAAGAAUUAACAUACAUCCUUAGUAUUUUUUAUACACUAUAUUGGAUUUGAUUUUAUAUUAUUGAAUAUGCAGGGAGCAUAAAUCUUUAGGUGGUUAGGGAACUAUAUAUAGCACCAAAACUUCAGGUUCAACAUCCUCAUGUCUGUAAUGAAAUGAAACUGAAGGGCCUUAUGCGGCAGAGCUUAGAGAGGCGAUAUGUCAUCAUCAUAAAUAUGACUCUCUCCCUUCCCUGCCAUAGUUGGAAAGGGUUUAUAUAGAUUGAAAUUAUUAAGUGCAGUUGGGUACAACCAAUUAAUUGAAAGGUGCAUGGGAAAGACUAUAUGUGAUUGAACGAAAGAUGGUUGUAGUUAGUUUUCCUAUGCACCUUUCAAUUAUGUUUUCGCACCCAGCAAUAAUAAUUUCUUUCUAUAUGAACCCCAUUUCUGUGUAACUACUAAGAGAGAUAGUCAAUUAUAUGAUGAUGAGAAUAUAUUACCUCUUUAAACUCUCCUACAUAAGCCUUUUGAUUUUCUUUUAGGGGUUGUUUGCUUUUUCCACAAUUCAAUUAUGUGCAUAAAAUUACCUGCUGCAAAUAAAUUGCUGGCAAUUGGAACUGCAGCUGUAUAAUAAGGCUUUGUUUGGUUGGUUGUAAUUGAGUUGCAAUUGUAACUGUGAUUCUUUUACAACUAUUUUGUUGUUUGGAGUUGACUCUGAUAUAUUACCUUGUAAUUUAGAUGGCAAGGUUACCCCUUUGAANNNNNNNNNNNNNNNNNNNNAAAAUAUCCAAUUGCAUCAUUUAAUCAAUGCUGAAAGGUCAAAAGUUAAAAGUAAAACUGGUUAAAAUUUAGAAGAAUUAACAUACAUCCUUAGUAUUUUUUAUACACUAUAUUGGAUUUGAUUUUAUAUUAUUGAAUAUGCAGGGAGCAUAAAUCUUUAGGUGGUUAGGGAACUAUAUAUAGCACCAAAACUUCAGGUUCAACAUCCUCAUGUCUGUAAUGAAAUGUAACUGAAGGGCCUUAUGCGGCAGAGCUUAGAGAGGCGAUAUGUCAUCAUCAUAAAUAUGACUCUCUCCCUUCCCUGCCAUAGUUGGAAAGGGUUUAUAUAGAUUGAAAUUAUUAAGUGCAGUUGGGUACAACCAAUUAAUUGAAAGGUGC